rnacentral:rRNA from 1 species
GAAGGGGCUAGCGUUGUUCGGAAUUACUGGGCGUAAAGCGCGCGUAGGCGGAUACUUAAGUCAGGGGGUGAAAUCCCGAGGGCUCAACCUCGGAACUGCCUUUGAUACUGGGUAUCUUGAGUUCGAGAGAGGUAAGUGGAAUUCCGAGUGUAGAGGUGAAAUUCGUAGAUAUUCGGAGGAACACCAGAGGCGAAGGCGGCUUACUGGCUCGAUACUGACGCUGAGGCGCGAAAGCGUGGGGAGCAAACAGGAUUAGAUACCCUGGUAGUCCACGCCGUAAACGAUGGAUGCUAGCCGUUGGAUAGUAUACUAUUCAGUGGCGCAGCUAACGCAUUAAGCAUCCCGCCUGGGGAGUACGGUCGCAAGAUUA